UGGGGAAUAUUGCACAAUGGGGGAAACCCUGAUGCAGCGACGCCGCGUGGGUGAAGAAGUUUUUCGGAAUGUAAAGCCCUAUCAGCAGGGAAGAAAAUGACGGUACCUGACUAAGAAGCCCCGGCUAACUACGUGCCAGCAGCCGCGGUAAUACGUAGGGGGCAAGCGUUAUCCGGAUUUACUGGGUGUAAAGGGAGCGUAGACGGAAUAGCAAGUCUGAAGUGAAAUCAUAGGGCUCAACCCUGUGCUUGCUUUGGAAACUGUUGAUCUGGAGUACCGGAGGGGCAGGCGGAAUUCCUGGUGUAGCGGUGAAAUGCGUAGAUAUCAGGAAGAACACCGGUGGCGAAGGCGGCCUGCUGGACGGCAACUGACGUUGAGGCUCGAAAGCGUGGGGAGCAAACAGG
rnacentral:rRNA from 1 species